CAGCUCCAUCCAGCUGAGGAUUCAAUCGUCCAGCUGACUGAUCGAAGUGGAACAGAUCUCUGCUCGCUCGCCUACAAACACACAAGAUGACCAUCGCUGUCUUUAUCAUCUUCAUGGCCACUCUUGCCCUUGUUGAUGGUUUAACUGCUGAACAGUGUAACGGAGGCUUAAAUCGGUUCAACAGCUUUCUUUGCAAGCAUGUCUUCCAGGAUGGUGCCAUUCCAGCAGAUUUGGCUGCCUGGACAGAGUACAGAUAGGUAUGGCCUCUGCAACGACUACACUAGAACUACUCAGUCCUUCACGUCGAGGACCGCCUUUGGAAAGAAGUAUUUCUGUCAACUCAAUACAUGUAGAGGGAUACAAUGUGCCAGUUCCAAUCCCACACACCUUUACAUUGUCAAUGUAUUUUUCUACGCCAAAACCUGCAGGGCUACACAUGUACGCACAGAUGAUGAUUAUGUGAUGGUGGAUUGUGAGUUAGUUGGUGAACAAUGCCUUCCUACCCAUUUUGUUUAUUCUCGCUGGGAUAAUCCAAACUGGAUUCGUCCACCCCCGUGUUGGAGGAGUUAAAACGUUUUUAGAGGGGUUAGAAGACAUUGGAGUCCAGUUCUAAACCUCUGUCAAGCUUAGCUUAAUUAGGCCUUUUUUGCUUACAUGAAAACAUGUUUAUGUGUUCUUAUGCUGCAUUUUAACACCUGUUACUUAUUGACCUAUACUCAUGGGGUAGCAAGUUCGAGUCUGUUAGUGUAUUCUAGAACCCUGAAGGCAGGAGAGACUGAAAAGAGUCAAGGGAAGCUUAUAAAAGUUAACAGCAUUUAAUUACACAAAAGAUGCGGUGGUGUACAAA